CAUAUAAACCCUCCUAGACUCGUAGUCACGACCGUUGCCUCCAUGUCGCCUUUAAAUCGCUAUGCCACCGCCUGUAAAUUCCGUGCCCCGCCAAGGGCAUUUUAGUCAUUUCACGCACAGCAUAUAAAACGCAGCCCGCCCGUGGAGAAACCCUAGCUGCUGCCUCCGCCCGCACUCGCGCCCCCACCUACCCACAGAGCUCUUUCCCCCGAUCCCCUCCCACGAACCCUAGCCUCCUGGUGACGCCGCCCCUUCCUUCCCCCGUCCCCCUCACCCCCCCCUCCCGCCGCCGCGAGCCCCUCCCUCCUCUUCGCGUUCCGGGCGGCCAUGGGCGACUCCAUGAGCGAGACCACCGCCGUCGCGGCGCUCGUGGCCGGCGGCGCACACCACGGGGCUCGGGACGUCCGCGGUGGUGCGGGCUGUGGACCGAGAUGCAGGGCUCGGGACGUCCGUGGCGGCGCGGCCUGUGGACCGAGAGGCAGGGCUCAGGACGUCCGCGGCGGCACGGGCUGUGGACCGAGAGGGAGGGCCUGUGAUGCAUUCCGUUCGAGGGGCUGGUCAGGUUGGCGCGGGAUCUGAGCCACCGUCGAUGGAUUUCUCGCAGCUUGGCUACUGUUGCUUUGGAUCCGGGCGAGGAGCCGCCGCCAUGUUUCUCCCCGAGCUCUGUGGUAGAAUGGUCUAUUUGUAUGAGAUUGUGUUUAGCGGAUGCGAAGAGCUCAGUUCUGGUAAGCUAGACCCUGAGGCGUGCAGCAGGUAUGUGGAGAUUAAGGAGCGUGCCCAUGUGAGCGGCUUCGAUUUUGUUGUGCCAAGAUCUCUGGUGGCAGGGAUUCACUUCGUUUUUUUGGUGAUGGUCAGGAGGUUAUAUAGUUUGAUGUUUCUGAAUUUUAACAAUCAUGUUUUACAGUACCCUUGACAUGAAUGAGAUCAUUGGGCUUAAAUGAGAACGAUGAGAACCAUCUGUUCUCCAUCGCAAUUAGCAUGUGUUUAAACUACUACUGCAGCAAAUGUUUGUCGUACCUUCAGUUUGUGCCGCAGAAUCUGUGUUUCAUUGGCACUUUUGUGUGUGUUUGAUUUAGUAUCUUUACCCAGGUGCUUGCUAGAGGAGAAGAUUAAUGGUCCGACACAGCUUCAUGAUGUAUGAGCUGGAGGAGAGGGCAUUGGAUGAACCAAUCAGUUCGAAGUUGUAGAGUUUGGAGGUGGAUGUUACUAAAGGGAGGAAGUUGAUCACAAGUUUUCUUUUAGCAAUUGGUGAGUUACAGGGAUAUCAUGUGCAUAUGUAUGAGUCUGCUUUGCUUCGGUUGAAGAUAUAUGUGUGCCUGAAGAUACAAUCUUACAUGCAUUUUCUGUAUGAUAUGAUCACUAUUUCAUUCUCUGUGUGUACGUAGGUUGCAAGAAUGAGAAGGCUCCUCCGUGCUUAACAGGAAGAGACAGGGUCGCAGCCGCACCGCACGACGGCAGGCCAUGGCGAGCCGCACCACACCAGGUGGGCUAGAGCGAGCUCCAGCGCGAGCGAGCGCACCCGUCGCCCAUGCUGGCGGUGUCCCGGCCACGAGCAACAGGAACACAGGGUCCCUGACCAC